rnacentral:rRNA from 1 species
UACACUCCUGCGGGAGGCAGCAGUGGGGAAUUUUGGACAAUGGGCGAAAGCCUGAUCCAGCAAUGCCGCGUGAGUGAAGAAGGCCUUCGGGUUGUAAAGCUCUUUUGUCAGGGAAGAAACGGUGAGAGCUAAUAUCUUUUGCUAAUGACGGUACCUGAAGAAUAAGCACCGGCUAACUACGUGCCAGCAGCCGCGGUAAUACGUAGGGUGCAAGCGUUAAUCGGAAUUACUGGGCGUAAAGCGUGCGCAGGCGGUUUUGUAAGUCUGAUGUGAAAUCCCCGGGCUCAACCUGGGAAUUGCAUUGGAGACUGCAAGGCUAGAAUCUGGCAGAGGGGGGUAGAAUUCCACGUGUAGCAGUGAAAUGCGUAGAUAUGUGGAGGAACACCGAUGGCGAAGGCAGCCCCCUGGGUCAAGAUUGACGCUCAUGCACGAAAGCGUGGGGAGCAAACAGGAUUAGAUACCCCAGUAGUCCCAU